GCCCUGAGUAAGGAUAUCCAGAAACCAGCAAGCAUUUGGUUGGAUGACGUAUGGUUGGAUGAUGCCGAUAUUUCAGAAUAAGACUGUUGCUCAGAGGAGAGUUAAAGACUUGGUGAAAGAGUCUGUGUUACCCCAGAAAGACAAACUGAUAACACCACCACCUCCAGGCUUAAAGAUGUGAAGACCAUGAUUCAGACUGGUGGGCCUCGUACAGCAGGACGUAAACCCCUGUUAGAGAGCAGCCAGAGGACAGACAGAGCACUGAGGAGCUGAACAAACACACCGCUGGCCCCAAUGUGAGAUUGACCAUCUAUCUCAACAGGUGGUUCAGCCCAACAACAACCCCCAGCCUGAACCCAGCUCAUCCACCAACACCUCCACCUGCUGCUGAUCCACCUCCAGACAUACAGCGAUGCACCACGGCACUGUGCUACCUUGCAGAACCCCUACAACCCCCACACCCUGUCCUCAGCUCCAUCCAACACAGAGAGACCCUGGAGAACAGGCUGGUCGACUGGUGAGGAGGAGGACAUUAUGUUGCACAGUGGAGCUGAUUUGGAUUUGCCCUAUUGUGUUAGUCCUGGGCCCCCCAGCAGAGGCUUGUCCCCCUGGGGCACCCCACAGGCCUUGGAGCAGGGGACCCCACAGCAGUCACCAAGAGAGCCUCAGCCACCUGAUCCCCACACCUUUACACCUUCAGAGCCGGAGCCAGUAGUGACCCCUGUCACCACUCCAGUCCCCUGCUGGCCCCUGGGGAGAUGCUUCACAUCCCUGGCUGAGGAGCAACCCCACAGCCCUGCGGAGGAGCAGCCCCACAGCCCUGGCUAAGGAGCAACCCCACAGCCCUGCGGAGGAGCAACCCCACAGCCCUGGCUAAGGAGCAACCCCACAGCCCUGGCUAAGGAGCAACCCCACAGCCCUGCAGAGGAGCAACCCCACAGCCCUGGCUAAGGAGCAACCCCACAGCCCUGCAGAGGAGCAACCCCACAGCCCUGGCUAAGGAGCAACCCCACAGCCCUGGCUAAGGAGCAACCCCACAGCCCUGCAGAGGAGCAGGAGGGGCAGGAGGAGUACAACAAGCCACUAGUAAUGUCAAUGGCUGAAGAGGAGCCUGUCUAUGUGGCCUCCCCACUCCCCUACCCCACCACCCUCACCAGGGCCUCAGACCCCUCCAUUCCCUCCUCCUGGUCCUCGUGGGGAGAGUAUUAGUAGCAGCAGUAGUUCCACUAUCACAGACACUGCUGCUAGACAGACUGCUGCUAGAUAGACUGCUGCUAGACAAACUGCUGCUAGACAGACUGCUCCUAGACAGACUGCUGCUAGACUGACUGCUGCUAGACUGACUGCAGCUAGACUGUAUGCUGCUAGAUGUCUAGACAGAAAGACUGCUCCUAGUCAGACUGCUCCUAGUCA
ensembl:lncRNA